AAAUUCCCAAAUUUAAGAUCGAUUCUAUUGAAUUUGAAACACUCACACUAGGGUCCUUGCCGCCAACUUUUCAAGAUUGGCUCUGCUGUUGGUGGUACUUAUUUUAGCUCAUGAAUUGGAGGUAGUAGAGGAUGCAGAAUGCAAGUUUAUUUGAAGCCAAGUUUCAUUCAAGGUCAUUGAGUUGGGUUGAUAGAAGUAAUGUUUUGUAUAUGACAAUAUUGAACAAAUAUGUAAAGUUUUCAAAAUGUUGAUACAUAUAUGGUAAAAUGUUAAUAUA